CCCUCAUGAUAAUGUCUCUGAUAAUUUAUUUAAUGUUCUUUAUUACAUGCACACAUAUGAAAAGCCUUAUCCAAAGCUAAUGAAAAAGUGUGGUUAGGGUCUGUCUGUCUGUUUGUUUGUUUGUUUUUCUUUUUCAAUAUCUUUUUGGCCACAACUAUGGGAACACAAUGAGGUCUGUAAAGGAGUACAAAUGCUAAUGCAGGCCAUCUACCUAAGGUGCAUGCCAGGUUCAACUUGGCUCAGAAUUUUCCAGCACAUUUAAUUAAUCUGUGCUGAAGAAUCACUGAUGUUGAAGACCUCAAAUGACCCCUGAUGUUGAAGACCUCAAAUGACCCCAUCUGCCUUUUUAGGCAGUCUGUCCUGCUGUUUUCACGGUUAGAAAAUAUUGCCUAAUGUCCAUCCCCAGACUUUCUUGGUGUAGAUUUCUUUCAUGCCCUCUCUUCUUCAAACUGAUCUUAUUAUAAUGCUGGAAAGGAGGUGAGAGAAAUAAAUGAAGUGAUUUUGGAGGCA
rnacentral:lncRNA from 1 species